rnacentral:pre_miRNA from 1 species
CUACUACUCCCUCUGUCUGAAAAUACUUGUCAUUGAAAUGGAUGUAUCUAGAUGUAUUUUAGUUCUAGACACAUCCAUUUUGAUGACAAGUAAUUCCGGAUGGAGGGAGUAUUAU